rnacentral:rRNA from 1 species
UACGGAGGGUGCGAGCGUUGUCCGGAAUCAUUGGGCGUAAAGGGCGCGUAGGUGGCCCGGUCAGUCUUUGGUGAAAGCGCGGGGCUCAACCCUGCGUCGGCCAGGGAUACUGCCGCGGCUCGAGCACUGUAGAGGCAGGCGGAAUUCCGGGUGUAGCGGUGGAAUGCGUAGAGAUCCGGAGGAACCCCAGAGGCGAAGGCGGCGCCCUGGCUCGCAACUGACGCUCAGACACGACAGCAUGGGGAGCGAACGGG